rnacentral:pre_miRNA from 1 species
AGAUGCUGGAAAUCAAGUGUAGGUGGAGCCUGUGGGUGUGAUUCGAGGCGACCCAUACUUGGUUUCCAGCGUCC